rnacentral:rRNA from 1 species
GAGGAAUAUUGGUCAAUGGACGUAAGUCUGAACCAGCCAAGUAGCGUGCAGGAUGACGGCCCUAUGGGUUGUAAACUGCUUUUGUAUGGGGAUAAAGUCAAUCACGUGUGAUUGUUUGCAGGUACCAUACGAAUAAGGACCGGCUAAUUCCGUGCCAGCAGCCGCGGUAAUACGGAAGGUUCGGGCGUUAUCCGGAUUUAUUGGGUUUAAAGGGAGCGUAGGCCGGAGAUUAAGUGUGUUGUGAAAUGUAGACGCUCAACGUCUGACUUGCAGCGCAUACUGGUUUCCUUGAGUACGCACAACGUUGGCGGAAUUCGUCGUGUAGCGGUGAAAUGCUUAGAUAUGACGAAGAACUCCGAUUGCGAAGGCAGCUGACGGGAGCGCAACUGACGCUUAAGCUCGAAGGUGCGGGUAUCGAACAGGAUUAGAUACCCUGGUAGUCCGCACAGUAAACGAUGGAUGCCCGCUGUUGGUACCUGGUAUCAGCGGCUAAGCGAAAGCAUUAAGCAUCCCACCUGGGGAGUACGCCGGCAACGGUG